rnacentral:rRNA from 1 species
GACGAACGCUGGCGGCGUGCCUAAUACAUGCAAGUCGAGCGAACCAAUAGGAGCUUGCUCCUGUUGGUUAGCGGCGGACGGGUGAGUAACACGUGGGCAACCUGCCUGUAAGACUGGGAUAACACCGGGAAACCGGUGCUAAUACCGGAUAAUCUUUUUCCUCUCAUGAGGAAAAACUGAAAGUCGGUUUCGGCUGACACUUACAGAUGGGCCCGCGGCGCAUUAGCUAGUUGGUGAGGUAACGGCUCACCAAGGCGACGAUGCGUAGCCGACCUGAGAGGGUGAUCGGCCACACUGGGACUGGGACACGGCCUAGACUCCUACGGGAGGCAGCAGUAGGGAGUCUUCCACAAUGGACGAAAGUCUGAUGGAGCAACGCCGCGUGAGCGAUGAAGGCCUUCGGGUCGUAAAGCUCUGUUGUUAGGGAAGAACAAGUACCGGAGUAACUGCCGGUGCCUUGACGGUACCUAACCAGAAAGCCACGGCUAACUACGUGCCAGCCGCCGCGGUAA